ACCUCAAAACUACGCAGAACAAGAAGAAAGACGGAAAAUACAAAGAAGCCGUUAGCCUGUAUGCUAUAGCGAUUCAUCAAAUGUUUGGUUAACGUCAGUACAAGUGUCAGAAACUAUCUUAUGCAGCAAAAGAAAGGGAAGGCUAUAUUAGACAUCUCUUGACAGAGCGCUCUUUCCUCACAGCAUGGAGAAACAGUUGCAUUUAAACCUGCUGGCCUCCAGACCUCCAAUGGCUGGUCCUGGUGGAUUUCAGUCUGGCUCUAAAAUCAAGAUGGGACCUGGCCGGAAGAAAGAUUUUACUCCACUGCUUUGGAGUCAGUACUUUGAAACCAUGGAGGAUGUUGAAGUGGAAAAUGAAAAUGGCAAAGAUAUUUUCAGAAUUUACUGCAGUGGUUCACUUGGUCCUGUGCUGUUGCUGCUCCAUGGAGGAGGCCAUUCUGCACUUUCUUGGGCAGUGUUUACUUCAGUCAUAUCCAACAUGAUUACCUGUAGGGUGGUUGCCAUGGACUUGCGAGCUCAUGGUGACACCAAAGUAAAAAAUCCUGAAGACUUGUCGGCAGAUACCAUGGCAAAGGAUGUCGGUAAAGUGGUGGAGGUGCUCUAUGGCGAGAAUCCACCUCCAAUCCUGAUUAUUGGACACAGUAUGGGCGGGGCCAUCGCGGUCCAUACAGCCACGGCCAAUUAUGUACCAUCACUGCUGGGUCUGUGUGUCAUUGAUGUUGUGGAAGGUACGGCAAUGGAUGCUUUGAACAGUAUGCAGAAUUUCCUCAGAAGUCGGCCAAAGACUUUCAAAUCGCUGGAGAACGCCAUCGAGUGGAGUGUGAAGAGCGGUCAGAUCCGGAACAUCGAGUCAGCACGAGUGUCAAUGGGAGGCCAAGUGAAGAAAUGUGAGGAGUCAUCUAGCAGUCCAAGCCUCUCAAAUAGUGCCGGUGAAGGCAUUAUAGAGGAAGAGGAGGAUGAAGACGUGGAGGAAGAAUCCAGCAAGAAAAAAAUGAGAGAAGAUGACCAGGAGGUGAAAAAGGAGAGUGUCUUUACUUGGCGCGUGGAGCUUUCAAAGACAGAAAAAUAUUGGGAUGGCUGGUUCAGGGGUCUCUCUGCACUCUUUCUCAGCUGCCCUGUGCCAAAACUACUGCUGCUUGCAGGGGUGGACAGGCUUGACAAAGAUCUCACUAUUGGACAAAUGCAAGUUGUGAUCCUGGUCCUCAGGAAAGUUUCAGAUGCAGGUCCUCCCUCAGUGCGGUCAUGCAGUUCAUGAAGAUGCACCUGAAAAAGUAGCGGAUGCUCUGGCAACAUUUAUGGUGCGACACAAAUUUACCGAGUUUAAGGCCGGAUACAUGUGCUAAAUUCCUCUCCAAACAUCCAGCAGAUGGGGGAAACAUGUAUUGAAAUUCAUUGACGUUAUUCUCCAAUUUACCUGCAAAUUAAAAAGUUAUUAUUAUUGUUGAUGUUAAGUUGCUUACAUGCAUAGAUAAUUCUGCCUUUCAGCUUUGCCUUUUUUAUUUAAAUAUAGUGAUUUGAAUAAACUUUAUUUUUUUUGUUUUCUUAUUUCCUGAAGAGUAUUGCUUUUCUUGUUUGAAGGUUUCUUUUCAGGGAUUGCAUCACUGGUAACGUGUUUGUGAUGUUUGAACUGAAUUAAAGAUGGAUGCUGCCAA